GCGCUUGCUUUGGCAGCACAUAUACUAAGGUUGGAACGAUACGGAAAGAUUAGCAUGGCCCCUGUGCAAGGAUGAAACGCAAAUCUGUGAAGCGGUCCAUAUUUUU